rnacentral:rRNA from 1 species
GGCGAACGGGUGAGUAACACGUGAGCAACCUGCCCUUGACACCGGAAUAACAGCUGGAAACAGCUGCUAAUACCGGAUACGACCUUCGAUGACAUCAUCUGGAGGUGGAAAGCUCCGGCGGUCAAGGAUGGGCUCGCGGCCUAUCAGCUUGUUGGCGAGGUAACGGCUCACCAAGGCUUCGACGGGUAGCCGGCCUGAGAGGGCGACCGGCCACACUGGGACUGAGAUACGGCCCAGACUCCUACGGGAGGCAGCAGUGGGGAAUAUUGCACAAUGGGCGAAAGCCUGAUGCAGCAACGCCGCGUGCGGGAUGACGGCCUUCGGGUUGUAAACCGCUUUCAGUUCCGACGAAGGUAACCUUGACGGUAGGAACAGAAGAAGGACCGGCCAACUACGUGCCAGCCGCCGCGG